rnacentral:rRNA from 1 species
CCUACGGGAGGCUGCAGUGAGGAAUAUUGGUCAAUGGACGAGAGUCUGAACCAGCCAAGUCGCGUGAAGGAUGACUGCCCUACGGGUUGUAAACCUCUUUUAUAUGGGAACAAAUUGUUAAACGCGUGCCACUUUGUAUGUACCCUAUGAAUAAGGAUCGGCUAACUCCGUGCCAGCAGCCGCGGUAAUACGGAGGAUCCGAGCGUUAUCCGGAUUUAUUGGGUUUAAAGGGUGCGGAGGUGGGUUGGCAAGUCGGUUGUGAAAGUUGGGGGCUCAACCGUAGAAUUGCAGUUGAAACUGGCAGUCUUGAGUAGAGGAGAGGUAGGCGGAAUUCGUGGUGUAGCGGUGAAAUGCUGAGAUAUCACGAAGAACUCCGAUUGCGAAGGCAGCUCACUGGACUGCAACUGACGCUGAGGCACGAAAGUGUGGGUAUCGAACAGGAUUAGAUACCCGGGUAGUC